AGCGAACGCUGGCGGCAGGCCUAACACAUGCAAGUCGAACGAACCUUUCGGGGUUAGUGGCGGACGGGUGAGUAACACGUGGGAACGUGCCUUUAGGUUCGGAAUAACUCAGGGAAACUUGUGCUAAUACCGAAUGUGCCCUUCGGGGGAAAGAUUUGUCGCCUUUAGAGCGGCCCGCGUCUGAUUAGCUAGUUGGUUGAGGUAAUGGCUCACCAAGGCGACGAUCAGUAGCUGGUCUGAGAGGAUGAUCAGCCACAUUGGGACUGAGACACGGCCCAAACUCCUACGGGAGGCAGCAGUGGGGAAUCUUGCGCAAUGGGCGAAAGCCUGACGCAGCCAUGCCGCGUGAAUGAUGAAGGUCUUAGGAUUGUAAAAUUCUUUAACCGGGGACGAUAAUGACGGUACCCGGAGAAGAAGCCCCGGCUAACUUCGUG
rnacentral:rRNA from 1 species